ensembl:lncRNA
GUUAACGUCUAAAGAAAACAAGGAGCCUACCCACAGACCCAAGGGAAACUGGUGACAAAAAGGGCUGAAGGUCAUACACAUGGCAGAAUCUUCCAACCCUGCCUGCAGGAGCUACUGGUAAAAGCAUUCAGGCAGGGUGAGGUGCAGAGCCUGAGCUUCCACUGGAUGUUGAUGGCUGCGAUACGCUUAUAGAGAAAGUACACUUUAUAAUUGGCAGCAAACAUCAGUGACCUGGCAUGAUUCCUGGCUAUGAAGUGGCUCUUUUUUGGCAGAAGAAAUUUCUGCUCCAGUUCCUGAGUGUUUCCUGGAAGGCAAGAUAGCAUUUAUGGGCUUUGAUACGAAUUUAACUCAUGCAACAAUGCAGAAACUGAUUUUAACUGUGUGAUUGAGGUAACACUUGAAGUUACCCUAGAAGCAUCUAUCUCAAGACCUGCCAAAGAUGUGCUUUUCAGACAUAUGCAGAUGUAAGAAGCUGUGAUUUAAAAGCUUCAUGUGAUAGAAAGUAAUCUUAGAAAUGUGGAUAUAUGUACCUGGUCCUAUCUCAGCUCUCUUUCCUGCCACAACGUUUCUUGUUUUAGUGGUGUUCCCAUUGCUUUACCUAGAAAAUUUCUUCAUCAACUCAUCCUGUACUUCUCAGCCCUGCCAAUAAUCACACUCUGCCUUUCCAUGUGGGCAUUCUGUCAGUGCUGAUGAGUAUUUUGGCUUUAAUAGAAAACUAGACAAUAAAAUAGCAAAAUAUUUUAGGUGCUAUUUUCUGGUCUCAUGUAAUUCCCUAUAUUACUUCUGCUGUGUUAAUAGAGAAUUUUGCAAUCACUUUUUAAACAACGUUCAUGAUUUCUUCCCAGUUUGAUUAUCUGAUGGCUUCUUUGAAAUCACUGUUAAAAUCUGAUCUAUAAAAUAAAAUGAAUAUUGAAAUAUCUUAUCUCCAUGUUGUAGGUAAUAAAAACAUUGUAAAGGUUAGCAACAUUACCUUUAAAUACAGAAUCAAGCAUGUUAAGUGCCUUGGAGUUAAGAUUUUAACUUUAUUAGAUUUAUGGUAAGAAUUAAAAUAUCCUCUCUUGUUACAUUUAUAAAGAUAGAGCUCGUUAGAUGAAGGAAAUUUCUUUUAUCAUUAAUAGGUCACAUAAAUGUGAUAAAAAUGUCUAUGCUUUCCAUAAAUUUUAUUCUUAUUUUAAGCAGUUACCGCAUAUAGAGUUUAUCCUUCAAAACUUUCAAUAGCAUUUUUAUAUCCUCCAAUUGAAAUAAUAAAAAGCAAAGAAUGAAAUGAAGCAAAUUAAUCCUCCCUUGGGAAACAGGGAGACUAGCACUGCCUGAUUUUGAAUUGUGGCAUUGCUUUGCAAAGCUUAAACAUUUUCCUCUCUCUUUCCAUGAUUUAAAUAGGGAAAUGAGUUUCUGUUCUGAAGGAUCUUGGAAUUAAAUGCCAAAAUUGCCUUCUAAGCAACAACCUUGUGUAGGGGACCUGAUACUUCCUUCCCGCUGCAUAGUUUUGUUGGCCAGAACAGGUGACUGGAAGAUGAAAUAAGAGUGUAAGAGUGAGACAGUAAUUUCUUUUCAGAGAUACUAUUUUAACAAUGUAGAAAGGAGGAAAGACAAAACUGGAUCAGGCUCAGGGACCGUGUAGCCUCUUUUCUGAUUCUGAUAGCAACGACUCACAGCCGUGAUUCAAAAGCUCUGUUUUUAUGAAAACUUGGC